CGGCUCGUAGCUCAGCAGGACAGAGCACGCGGUUCCUAACCGCGAAGUCGCCGGUUCGAGUCCGGCCGGGCCGG
rnacentral:tRNA from 1 species